rnacentral:rRNA from 1 species
UGGGGGAUAUUGGACAAUGGGGGAAACCCUUAUCCAGCGACGCCGCGUGAGGGAAGAAGGUUUUCGGAUUGUAAACCUCUGUCAGCGGGGACGAUAAUGACGGUACCCGCGGAGGAAGCCACGGCUAACUACGUGCC